UUACAGCCGUAUCAUGGUCAAAACACUGGUCCUUGUAAGAUCACCGAAGUUAAGCAACGUUGAGCUUGGUCAGUCGCUGGAUGGGUGACCACUUGAGAAUACCAGGUGCAGUAG